AUGGCUGCUCCGGCGAAGGCGUCAUGGACGGUGGCGAUGAGCGUGGGCGCGGUGGAGGCGCUCAAGGACCAGGUCGGGCUCUGCCGCUGGAACUACGCCCUCAGGUCCAUCCACUGUGCAGCCAAGGCCAACGUCCGCGGCGGCGUCUCGCAGGGCACCAAACAGCUUCUGGCUUCCGCGGCGGCCCUGGUGGAGAGGCGUCCAGCGGAGAAGGCUGAGGAGGCGCUGAGGACGGUCAUGUACCUCAGCUGCUGGCUGUGUUUGUCAAGAGAGGAACAACGUUCAGAGUUAGACGGGGAAAGCAACUCAGCAGAGCGAGGCAUACAGAAAACAGAGGAACUU
rnacentral:rRNA from 1 species